rnacentral:rRNA from 1 species
UUGGGUCUAAACAUCUGUAGCUUGUUUUGCAAGUCUCUUGUGAAAUCCUAUGUCUUAAAUAUAGGACGUGCAGGAGAUACUGCAUUGCUAGGGACUGGAAGACGUGAGGAGUAUGUGUGGGGUAUCGGUAAAAUGAGUUGAUCCUACGUAGACUAACGAUAGCGAAGGCACCUCACGAGUACAGAUCUGACAGUGAGAGAUGAAGGCUAGGGUCGCGAAAGGGAUUAGAUACCCCUGUAGUCCUAGCAGUAAACACUGCACACUAAACAUUGGUAUCUCCUCGGGAGGCAUCGGUGCUGUAGGGAAGCCGAAGAGUGUGCUAUCUGGGAAGUAUAGUCGCAAGGCCGAAACUUAAAGGAAUUGGCGGGGGAGCACA